rnacentral:rRNA from 3 species
GACCUCAGGUCAGGCGGGGCUACCCGCUGAGUUUAAGCAUAUCAAUAAGCGGAGGAAAAG